rnacentral:snRNA from 1 species
ACACUUAUUUCUGCAGGAUAUC